GAUGAAGAACGUAGCGAAACGCGAUAAGUAAUGUGAAUUGCAGAAUCCAGUGAAUCAUCGAAUCUUUGAACGCAUAUUGCGCCCUCUGGCAUUCCGAGGGGCAUGCCUGUUCGAGCGUCAUUACACCACUCAAGCUAUGCUUGGUAUUGGGCGUCGUCCUUAGUUGGGCGCGCCUUAAAGACCUCGGCGAGGCCACUCCGGCUUUAGGCGUAGUAGAAUUUAUUCGAACGUCUGUCAAAGGAGAGGAACUCUGCCGACUGAAACCUUUAUUUUUCUAGGUUGACCUCGGAUCAGGUAGGGAUACCCGCUGAACUUAAGCAUAUCAAUAAGCGGAGGA
rnacentral:misc_RNA from 1 species